rnacentral:rRNA from 1 species
CGGACGGGUGAGUAACGCGCGGGGAACCUGCCCUGUACAGGGGGAUAACACUUAGAAAUAGGUGCUAAUACCGCAUAAGCGCACAGUAUCGCAUGAUACAGUGUGAAAAACUCCGGUGGUACAGGAUGGACCCGCGUCUGAUUAGCUGGUUGGCGGGGUAACGGCCCACCAAGGCGACGAUCAGUAGCCGGCCUGAGAGGGUGAACGGCCACAUUGGGACUGAGACACGGCCCAAACUCCUACGGGAGGCAGCAG